CCUACGGGAGGCAGCAGUGAGGAAUAUUGGUCAAUGGGCGUAAGCCUGAACCAGCCAAGUCGCGUGAGGGACGACGGCCCUACGGGUUGUAAACCUCUUUUGCCGGGGGACAAACGGCGGCACGCGUGCCGUCCUGAGGGUACCCGGAGAAAAAGCAUCGGCUAACUCCGUGCCAGCAGCCGCGGUAAUACGGAGGAUCCGAGCGUUAUCCGGAUUUAGUGGGUUGAAAGGGAGCGUCGUGGGAUUGUUAAGUCAGUUGGGAAAGUUUGCGGCUCAACCGGAAAAUUGCAGUUGAAACUGGCAGUCUUGAGUACCGUCGAGGUGGGCGGCAUUCGUGGUGUAGCGGUGCCAUGCUUCGAUAUCACGCAGAACUCCGAUUGCGAAGGCAGCUCACUGGACUGCAACUGCCACUGAGGCUCGAACGUGUGGGUCUCAAACAGGAUUCGAUACCCUUGUAGUC
rnacentral:rRNA from 1 species